AGUGAACGCUGGCGGUAGGCCUAACACAUGCAAGUCGAACGGCAACACAGUAAGAUCUUGCUCUUACGGGUGGCGAGUGGCGGACGGGUGAGGAGUGCAUCGGAAUCUACUUUUUCGGGGGGGAUAACGUAAGGGGACUUACGCUAAUACCGCAUACGACCUACGGGUGAAAGCAGGGGAAAUUCUGGCCUUGCGCGAUUGAAUGAGCCGAUGUCGGAUUAGCUAGUUGGGUGGGUAAAGGCCUACCAAGGCGACGAUCCGUAGCUGGUCUGAGAGGAUGAUCGGCCACACUGGAACUGAGACACGGUCCAGACUCCUACGGGAGGCAGCAGUGGGGAAUAUUGGGCAAUGGGCGCAAGCCUGACCCAGCAAUACCGCGUGGGUGACGAAGGCCUUCGGGUCGUAAAGCCCUUUUGUUGGGAAAGAACAGCUGUAGGUUAAUACCCCGCUGUUCUGACGGUACCCAAUGAAUAAGCACCGGCUAACUACGUG
rnacentral:rRNA from 1 species